rnacentral:piRNA from 1 species
UGAACUUUGAGAGCAGGCAUGGUUCC